rnacentral:rRNA from 1 species
GGGUUAGUAGGUUGGUCAUGCCUCUGGUAUGUACUGGUCUCACUGAUUCCUCCUUCCUGAUGAACCUUAAUGCCAUUAAUUUGGUGUUUUGGGGAAUUUGGACUUUUACCUUGAGAAAAUUAGAGUGUUCAAAGCAGGCAUUUGCCCGAAUACAUUAGCAUGGCAUAAUAAAAUAGGACGUGCGGUCCUAUUUUGUUGGUUUCUAGAGUCGCCGUA